rnacentral:pre_miRNA from 1 species
CAAAUACUCCCUCCGUCCGGAAUUACUUGUCAUCAAAAUGGAUGAAAAUGGAUGUAUCUAGAACUAAAAUACAUCUAGAUACAUCUAUUUUAAUGACAAAUAUUUCCGAACGGAGGGAGUACAUA